rnacentral:rRNA from 1 species
UCUUUUAAUGUAAAUGGAGUCCUAAAUCCGGUCAAAAGAAGUAAGAUUUUGUCUAAAUUAAAAAGGGAAAAGACACAGGUGGCCUUCCUCCAGGAGACCCACCUGAGCCAAUCAGAACAUGUUAAAUUAAAAAGACAGGUUUAUUAAAACAUAUUUUUAUCUUCAUAGAAGCAGGGCUCUAGACUGGGACCAAAUUUUUCAAUGGUGCAACUAAAAAAAAUCCUAGGUCGCACCGGUCGACCAACUGUUUGAGUAAAAAAAAAAAAAAGAAGAAAAGUCUCUGCAACUCUGAAAGUCUUCAUGUGGUCAACAACAGACACACAUUAUGCCCCUAUCGUGGUCUCAACUAAUCAGAGAUAGUCAGGGGCGGGACCUCUCUGAUUGGCUGUGGUCCAGUUGAAAGUGCAGGUGGAUAGAGAGAGGUGAGUAGCUUGAAUAAAGUGAUAAAGCUCACAAAACUGUUUCAACAACCACCAAACAGCAAAUAAGACCAGAUAAACGGAUUCCACACAAAGAUGUAAACACAGAGCGCGGACCCGGUGCAUACCCGACAGCACAUACACGGACACGCCAGCCUGAAAGCUGACAGCUCACUGAUUCUGAUGUGUCGGCGGGUCAGCACUUUGUGUUUAUGCCUUUUUUGCGCUAGAUUCUGAACUGCAGGUUUUGUCUCUCUCCAACCAAAAUUCACUGAACCAGCAGCAAAAGAUCCAAGCUACACUUCACAUUUGAUAAAUAUCGUCAUUAAUCCUCUCUUACUUUCGCUGUAUUGCAUCCACCACGAUAAAAUCACACUUCAUGCACAACUCUGUCUCUGUGUGUACUUCAAGAACAGUUUCCCAUCUCAAAUCUCAAUUUUUGCAUUAUUCAUUCGCUUAUUACCCACCAGUCUACCGUUGUUUACAACGCUGUUGGCUGCUGUCUUUUAUUUUUUACUUAAAUGACCUCGGACAAGAACAUAGUGAAGAAAUUUAAACUUUUUUAAAAUUAUGCAAAAUUGCAGAAUAUUGCAGAAUAUUUUUAAGGUUAUCUGAUAUAAAGCGCGGGGCGAUGUCCUACGUCGCCCCCGGCCGAUUGAAAGGGAGUCGGGUUCAAAUCCCCGAACCUGGAGGUGUGGAGAUAGGGGCUGCGAGGCGCCCAGUGCGGUAACGUACACGAACCCGGAGAAGCUGGUGGGGGCUCUGGAGAGAGUUCUCUUUUCUUUGUGAAGGGCAGGGCACCCCGGAAUGGGUUCGCCCCGAGAUAGGGGCCUGGAAAGCGUUGCGGUUCCAGCGGCGUCUGGUUAGCUCUCACUGGCCCUUGAAAAUCCGGGGGAGAAGGUGUAAGUCUCACGCCAGACCGUACCCAUAUCCGCAGCAGAUCUCCAAGGUGAACAGCCUCUGGCAUGUUAGAACCAGGCAGCUAAAGGAAGUCGGCAAGUCAGAUCCGUAACUUUGGGAUAAGGAUUGGCUCUAAGGGUUGGGUAGGUCGGGUUGGGGUGCGAAGUGGGGCUGGGCUCGCACCGCGGCUGGGGAACCAGUCGCUCUGUCGCCCUCCUCUCUUCGCCGCCGGAAGCGCGGUGCGCGGCCCGCCUCGCGGGGCUCACGUCUGCGGCACCUCACGCGUCGUACGGCGUGGGUUUUCACGGGGCGGUAUCCGCCACCGUGUGGAAGGCAGGCCGGUGGGGGGACACGGUCAGCAGUGACUGGCGGCGAAUCUGGAUGCGCGCCAGGCCCUUCUCGUGGAUCACCUCAGCUGCGGUGCCCGUUGGGGUCCCCUUCGUGGAGGCGCCCCAGCGGGUCGCCUCGGCUGGCGCCUAGCAGCUGACUUAGAACUGGCGUGGACCAGGGGAAUCCGACUGUUUAAUUAAAAAAAGCAUUGCGAAGGCCCACGGCGGGUGUUGACGCAAUGUGAUUUCUGCCCAGUGCUCUGAAUGUCAAAGUGAAGAAAUUCAAUGAAGUGCGGGUAAACGGCAGGAUUAACUAUGACUCUCUAAUUAGUGACGCGUAUGAAUGGAUGAACGAGAUUCCCACUGUCCCGAGCUGCUAUCUAGCGAAACCACAGCCAAUGGAAUGGGCUUGGCAAAAUCAGCGUGGAAAGAACACCCUGUUGAGCUUGACUCUAGUCUGGCACUGUGAAGAGACAUGAGAGGUGUAAAAUAACUGGGAGGCUUCGGCCGCCGUUGAAAUGUUUCUGCCGACCUACUCUUAUCGUUUUUACACUUACCCGGUGAGGCGGAGAGGCGAGCCCCGAGCGGGCUCUCGCUUCUGGUGUCAAGCGCCCGGCACCCGCCGGGUGUGACCCACUCCGGGGUCAGUGGCAGGUGGGGAGUUUGACUGGGGCGGUACACCUGUCAAACUGUAGCGCAGGUGUCCUAAGGCGAGCUCAGGGAGGACAGAAACCUCCCGUGGAGCAGAAGGGCAAAAGCUCGCUUGAUCUUGAUUUUCAGUAUGAAUACAGACCAUGAAAGCGGGGCCUCACGAUCCUUCUGACUUUUUGUGUCAAAAGUUUCCACAGGGAUAACUGGCUUGUGGUGGCCAAGUGUUCAUAGCGACGUCGCUUUUUGAUCCUUUGAUCCUUCGAUGUCGGUUGUUCCUUCAUUGUGAAGCAGAAUUCACCAAGCGUUGGAUUGUUCACCCAGUAAUAGGGAACGUGAGCUGGGUUUAGACCGUCGUGAGACAGGUUAGUUUUAUCCUACUGAUGAUGUGUUGUUGCAAUAGUAAUCCUGCUCAGUACAAGAGGAACCACAGGUUCAGACAUUUGGUGUAUGUGCUUGGCUGAGGAGCCAAUAGUGAGAAGCUACCAUCUGCGGGAUUAUGACUGAACGCCUCUAAGUCAGAAUCCUGCCUAGACGCAGUGAUACCGUAGCGCUGUGGAUCUUCGGUUGGUCUCGGAUAGCCGGCCCUCCGGUGAAGGAGAGCCAUUCGUGACUGGGCUGGGGGACGGCCCGACGAACGAACUUGGUGCUAAAUAACUUGUAAACGACCUGAUUCUAGGUC